AUCUGAAGGAAGUGAGGUCACACUAGCUAUAAGCUGUGCGACUUGGAAAAUAAAUGGAUUGAAUAAGCUUAAUUUUGCAAUCAACUGAAAAAUUAUUUCCUUUUAUUUUUCUGUGAUAUUUUUCGUAUAUUUCUGUGUGAUGCAUGUACAGCUGUUGUAUUUAAAACUUCGAUUAUCGAAUCUUUCAAGCCUCAAAACAAAGUUGCAUCUGAUUUUCUGAUGAUAGAGAAUUGAAUUAAAAUGGAUCUUAAUUUCUCACCAUGAAUCUUAAUUCUCAGCUGCGGGUCCUUGAUCAAUGAACCAAUCUGGACAAGGUGAUACGAUGAGUCAAGAUGAAUCAAAAUGGACGUGCAGUAUGUGUACUUUCGAAAAUUGGCCAAAAUCUAUUAAAUGUACAAUAUGUCGUUCCCCGAAACAAUCACAAAUUAUUACUCAAGACAAGCCACAAGACAUAUACAUGAUGGCUCCACUUAUUUCUGAAACUUCCAGCCCACCAGCAGCACAAGGUAGCAGUGCUUCAUCUAACCCCCAUAAUAAAUGGUCAUGCCCUACAUGCACAUACAUGAACUGGCCCCGUUCUACCAAGUGUACACAAUGUGCCACAAAAAGGAAAACUAGCCCCCCACCUGAGCCUUCAAAUAACACUUCUUCACAUGAUCAAUCAAACAAUGUUUCAACAGAUUCCACCACAGCAUGUGUUCUCUCUGACAACUAUUACAAUGACAGAAAUAAAUCUUGGAGUCGCUCAAUCAAAUGGACUUGUUCAACGUGUACUUAUGAAAAUUGGCCCAAGUCUAUUAAAUGUGUUUUGUGCCACACCCCUCGUCCCAAAGUGGAUCAGUCCUGUCAGACACUAGCUGAAAAUGAUGACAGCAGGUCUCGGCAACGUGUCAAUCGAUGUGAUGUACAAAGUUCUCUCUAUUCUUCUGUUAAUUGUUUAACUAUACGAAGGAAUGAUCAUUUACCAUCGGAAACGACUGAAAUUCAGGUAUCAACACCUUUAGCAUGUGCUAGUGAUAUUUCCAGAACUCCUAAUAACUACAUAGAAGAAUGCCGUCUCAGAAAUUCAAGACGAAACAAUCGUGAAGUGGAUUGGACUUGGUUAAAUGCUUGCAUAGGAGUUGUAGAUGGUGAUGCAGAGCCUGUGAUUGAAUAUUUAUCUGUGGGUGGGGAUCCUGGUAGGCAGCUGAAUGCAAAUGAAGUUGCUUUGCUUAAAAGACCUUCUGCAUUUGAUGCUGGAUACACUCUCGUGCAUUUAGCAAUUCGAUUUCAGCGUGAAGAUCUGUUGACAUUGUUAUUAUCUCAUACCGAAAUGACAAGACCAGCUGCUAAGAGAGUUCCAGCAGAUAUAAGUCGGACAUUAGCCUCAGACAUUCGCCACAUGAUAGCGGCUUCCUUGAAGCAAAGAAGAGGAGAAUUUCCUUGUUACUUUGUGACAGAAUGUGUUACUUUUUCCCUGCCCGCUGAAAUUGAAGACUUCAAUCCUAUAGUACAAGAAAAAUUAUUUGAUGAUCUUCUUGAUCGUGAUGCUCAGAAAGAAUUGGAAGAAGAAUCACCCAUUAUCAAUUGGAGCUUAGAACUUACAGAACGCUUGGGUUCAAGAUUAUAUGCUCUUUGGAAUCGAAGUGCAGGUGACUGUCUUCUAGAUUCUGCUCUCCAAGCAACAUGGGGCGUAUUUGAUCGAGACAACACACUCAGGCGCGCUUUGGGAGAAAGUUUAUGUGAGGCAGCUGCAGUGUUAUAUCCCCGGUGGAAAGAAGCAGAGACUCUCCAAGCAAAUCUUCUUCAGUUCACCCUCGAUGACACCCAGUGGCAAGAAGAUUGGGCUAUGUUAUUAUCCCUGGCCUCCCAGCCUGGCUCAGCUCUUGAACAAAUGCACAUCUUUACUUUGGCACACAUAUUACGAAGACCCAUUAUUGUUUAUGGUGUCAAAUAUGUCAAAAGCUUCAGGGGAGAAGCCCUUGGCUAUGCAAGAUUUGAAGGAAUCUACUUACCUUUGCUGUGGGAGCCAACGUUUUGCUGGAAGUCUCCUAUUGCUCUGGGUUAUACAAGAGGCCACUUUACAGCACUUGUUGCUAUGGAGCCAGAUUCAGAGGAUACACUGGGAGCUGGCGCCAAUACCCGGACAGGAGAUGAUCUUAGAGUGAUAUUUUUACCUUUAAUGACAAUGGAUCAUCAAAGACUUCCGGUGCAUUUCUUGACUCAGGAGGAGUUGGGACGUGAAGAAGAAAUCAUGAAGCAGUGGCUUGACUGUUGUGUGACUGAGGGUGGUAUUUUGGUGGCACAACAGAAGAUCCUGAAGCGACCUUAUCUUGUGGCACAAAUGAUUGAAGAGUGGCUGGCUUUCUACCGAGGCCUUAUGCGGCGGCCUACUAUCCAUCACUCCUCCCCAGAAUCUCACACUCAGGUCUAUUCAAGUGAUGGAGAUUCUGACCAGGAGUAAAAUGGAAUCUUCAUUAAGAAAUGAAACAUACUGAAAAGACAAGGUAAGAAGACUCAAUGAAGUGCAACGGAAGAAAACUUAAAACUUCCCUACAUACAAAAUAUGAGGAUCCAAAAAGUGGAGGGGCAUAGAUGGAAAUUGUAAAUACUGCAUUUCAUGUUGGUUCGUCUGCGAGUGACUAUCCCGUCCAAGAAGGGGGACUAUUUUGUGUCAUAGCUUCACCCUGUACAUUUCCAACAUAGUGGACAGAUUCAGCUAUUUUCUCUAAUCCUGUACAGAUAGCAAAGUGUGUAUUUAUUCAAAUCUUAACUAGCUCCAUAUUUAUUGGACAUUCAAUAGAGAUCUUAUGAAUGGAUUCUUGUACAUAGUGAUGGACAUUUGUGCAGUAGAUUGUAAUUAAAAUGGAAUGAGAGUUUUA